UACGUAGGGACCAAGCGUUGUUCGGAUUUACUGGGCGUAAAGGGCGCGUAGGCGGCUAAUUAAGUCAUCUGUGAAAUCUCCGAGCUUAACUCGGAACGGUCAGGUGAUACUGAUCUGCUAGAGUGCGGAAGGGGCAAUCGGAAUUCUUGGUGUAGCGGUGAAAUGCGUAGAUAUCAAGAGGAACACCUGAGGUGAAGACGGGUUGCUGGGCCGACACUGACGCUGACAGCGCGAAAGCCAGGGGAGCAAACGGG
rnacentral:rRNA from 1 species